GAUGAGCCCGCGUACCAUUAGCUAGUUGGUGGGGUAAAGGCCUACCAAGGCGACGAUGGUUAGCUGGUCUGAGAGGAUGAUCAGCCACACUGGAACUGGAACACGGUCCAGACUCCUACGGGAGGCAGCAGUGAGGAAUUUUGCGCAAUGGGGGAAACCCUGACGCGGCAACGCCGCGUGAGUGAUGAAGGCUUUCGGGUCGUAAAGCUCUGUCAAGUGGGAAGAAGUUGUGUAUGGCUAAUAUCUGUACACAUUGACGGUACCACUGAAGGAAGCACCGGCUAACUCCGUGCCAGCAGCCGCGGUAAUACGGAGGGUGCAAGCGUUAUUCGGAUUUACUGGGCGUAAAGGGCGCGUAGGCGGCUUGAUAAGUCAGUCGUGAAAGCCCGGGGCUCAACCCCGGAAGUGCGAUUGAAACUAUUUGGCUUGAGUAUGGUAGAGGGAAGUGGAAUUCCUGGUGUAGCAGUGAAAUGCGUAGAUAUCAGGAGGAACACCGGUGGCGAAGGCGACUUCCUGGACCAAUACUGACGCUGAUGCGCGAAGGUGUGGGUAGCAAACAGGAUUAGAUACCCUGGUAGUCCACGCAGUAAA
rnacentral:rRNA from 1 species